rnacentral:rRNA from 1 species
GACGAACGCUGGCGGCGUGCUUAACACAUGCAAGUCGAGCGGUAAGGCCCUUUCGGGGGCACACGAGCGGCGAACGGGUGAGUAACACGUGGGUGACCUGCCCUCAGCUCUGGGAUAAGCCUGGGAAACCGGGUCUAAUACUGGAUAUGACUCCAUGACGCAUGUUGUGGGGUGGAAAGCCUUGUGCGGCUGAGGAUGGGCCCGCGGCCUAUCAGCUUGUUGGUGGGGUGAUGGCCUACCAAGGCGACGACGGGUAGCCGGCCUGAGAGGGCGACCGGCCACACUGGGACUGAGACACGGCCCAGACUCCUACGGGAGGCAGCAGUGGGGAAUCUUGCGCAAUGGGCGAAAGCCUGACGCAGCGACGCCGCGUGAGGGAUGACGGCCUCGGUGUAAC